AGCAAUUUCUGUUACCCAUGGUCAACUGAGGUCUGAAAAUCGGAAUCACAUUCAGCCUGGAUGUGGAAUUACCUUUUGAAAGAGGCUUAGUAUACCUUUUGUGCCAGCAAAGUCAGAUACCUUCUCUGAAUAAAGACCAACUUCAUGA